rnacentral:piRNA from 1 species
UAUGACAUCCAAGAGCUUGGGCAUGGCAC